rnacentral:rRNA from 1 species
CCUACGGGAGGCAGCAGUGAGGAAUAUUGGUCAAUGGGCGCGAGCCUGAACCAGCCAAGUCGCGUGAGGGAAGACGGUCCUAUGGAUUGUAAACCUCUUUUGUCGGGGAGCAAAAGACGCCACGCGUGGCGUUCCGAGAGUACCCGAAGAAAAAGCAUCGGCUAACUCCGUGCCAGCAGCCGCGGUAAUACGGAGGAUGCGAGCGUUAUCCGGAUUUAUUGGGUUUAAAGGGUGCGCAGGCGGAAGAUCAAGUCAGCGGUAAAAGUUAUAGGCUCAACCUCUUCGAGCCGUUGAAACUGGUUUUCUUGAGUGAGCGAGAAGUAUGCGGAAUUCGUGGUGUAGCGGUGAAAUGCAUAGAUAUCACGCAGAACUCCGAUUGCGAAGGCAGCAUACCGGCGCUCAACUGACGCUCAUGCACGAAAGUGUGGGUAUCGAACAGGAUUAGAUACCCUGGUAGUC